CCUACGGGUGGCUGCAGUGAGGAAUAUUGGUCAAUGGGCGUAAGCCUGCACCAGCCAAGUCGCGUGAGGGAUGAAGGUUCUAUGGAUCGUAAACCUCUUUUAUAAGGGAAUACAGUGUGGGACGUGUACUGUUUUGUAUGUAUCUUAUGAAUAAGGAUCGGCAAACUCCGUGCCAGCAGCCGAGGUAAUACGGAGGAUCCGAGCGUUAUCCGGAUUUAUUGGGUUUAAAGGGUGCGUAGGCGGCCUUUUAAGUCAGCGGUGAAAGUAUGUGGCUCAACCAUAUAAUUGCCGUUGAAACUGGGAGGCUUGAUGAUGUUUGAGGCAGGCGGAAUGCGUGGUGUAGAGGUGAAAUGCUUAGAUAUCACGCAGAACCCCGAUUGCGAAGGCAGCCUGCCAAGCCAUGACUGACGCUGAUGCACGAAAGCGUGGGGAUCAAACAGGAUUAGAUACCCUUGUAGUC
rnacentral:rRNA from 1 species